rnacentral:piRNA from 1 species
GACACUGGUGUCACAUUCUCAGAGGCAUGGA